CGGUACGGACAGGGGCAACAUU
rnacentral:miRNA from 1 species